rnacentral:rRNA from 1 species
UACGGGGGGGGCAAGCGUUGUUCGGAAUUACUGGGCGUAAAGGGCUCGUAGGUGGCCAACUAAGUCAGACGUGAAAUCCCUCGGCUUAACCGGGGGACUGCGUCUGAUACUGGAUGGCUUGAGUUUGGGAGAGGGACGCGGAAUUUACGGUGUAGCAGUGAAAUGCGUAGAUAUCGUAAGGAAGACCAGUGGCGAAGGCGAGUCUCUGGACAGUUACUGACACUGAGGCACGAAGGCCAGGGGAGCAAACGGG